rnacentral:rRNA from 1 species
GGGGAAUCUUCCGCAAUGGGCGAAAGCCUGACGGAGCAACGCCGCGUGAGGGAAGAAGGCCUUCGGGUUGUAAACCUCUGUUUUCAGGGAAGAAAAAAAUGACGGUACCUGAAGAGUAAGCUCCGGCUAACUACGUGCCAGCAGCCGCGGUAAUACGUAGGGAGCGAGCGUUGUCCGGAUUUACUGGGCGUAAAGGGCGCGUAGGUGGUCUAUUAAGUUAUAGGUGAAAGCCCGGGGCUCAACCCCGUGAUUGCCUGUGAUACUGGUAGACUUGAGUGCAGGAGAGGGGAGCAGAAUUCCCAGUGUAGCGGUGAAAUGCGUAGAUAUUGGGAGGAAUACCAGUGGCGAAGGCGGCUCUCUGGACUGUAACUGACACUGAGGCGCGAAAGCGUGGGGAGCGAAC